GAUGAACGCUGGCGGCGUGCUUAACACAUGCAAGUCGAACGAAGUGGCGAACGGGUGAGUAACGCGUAAUCAACCUGCCCUUCAGAGGGGGACAACAGUUGGAAACGACUGCUAAUACAGCAUACUGCAGGAGGGGAUUGUGUCUGAUUAGCUGGUUGGAGGGGUAACGGCCCACCAAGGCGAAGAUCAGUAGGCGGUCUGGGAGGAUGAACGGCCACAUUGGGACUGGAACACGGCCCAGACUCCUACGGGAGGUAGCAGUGGGGAAUCUUCCGCAAUGGACGAAAGUCUGACUGAGCAACGCCGCGUGAGUGAUGACGGCCUUCGGGUUGUAAAGCUCUGUUAAUCGGGACGCGGUACCGGAAUAGAAAGCCACGGCUAACUACGUGCCAGCAGCCGCGGUAAUUC
rnacentral:rRNA from 1 species